CUCGUCUUAUAAUACUAGGGACAUUGUCUUUACCCCAGGAGAUAACAAAUUACCAUGAAGGUACAGACUCUUCAGUAGUGGAGGUAGACACAGAUGAAACAGAGACUGGUGAGGUAUCUACAGGCAACAAGGAUCCUAUGGUCAUUGAGGGGCUUGACUCCGUGACUGUGGUUGGUAUUGCCUUUGCUGCGUUCAUCAUUGGUGCCAUGAUGAUGGGAGCUCUCUGGUUCAUUCAUACACACUCAGGAAGAUUAUUUUCAUCAGGACCUUUCAAACGGAACAUGGGUGUAAGAGAGACUCCAGAACACGAGGAUGGUUAUGUUGAAACCACUCCAGGAUCUUCAGUUCCUAUAUCCACAUAGAAUUACCUCCCUUGACUGUUUAAACAUAUCUACCUCACCAGUUGAAGAGCUUGCUGUAAAUGGAACUCAUCAAAGAAAAUUCAUUCAUUUAUCCUGCAUUAACAUGAAAAAAAAAUCAUUUUCAGUAGCCUAGUUUCUAGGAAACAUCAUCACCAAAUGGGGAACCUUCUUGUGUUCAGCAGAACCGUAUAAAAUUCAUAGUGAAGACAACAAAAUAAUCUUAGAAAUAUCUACCAGUUAUUAUAACUCAGUUAUUUCAAACCUGUGCAGAUAUAGAAAUAGAAAUUGUUGAAAGACAUGUACGUAACUUGAUCAGGUAGGAAGAUUUCAUAGGAAAUCAUGCAGGAUUUCAUCUUCAAAUCUUAAAAAAAAAGUAGGGGGAAAAUUGCAUCUACUGUUGAUAAUUAAACCAUACUCAGGAGAUUUCGCCAGUAGUUUACAUUUGAUACAGGGAGUAAACUCACAGGGAUUAGUGUUACAGGAACCCACAGGGACUUGUGUUAGUUUUAAUUAUUAUAUUAAGACUGCAUCACGUUAUGCCUUCUAAGAAAUGAUUGGCUCAGUGUUCUUCGUAAGUACCUCAUUUGCAUAAAUUUGCAUAAAUUAUUAUUCAUUUACUGAACUUGAUAUAUUAUGGCCAGUUGUACAUUUAAUUUCAUUAUAUAUUAUUUGGAUUUACCCAUAAUCCUCCAAAUUCAUUCAUUAGAAAUUCACCUGUCAUCCUGAAUGGGCAUUUUUUGGACAAUGUGCAAAAUAAUCAUAUGGCAUUGCUAUAUAUAGGCUGGGCAUUUGGGAACUACCGCUGCAUUUAUAUAUUACUGUGAGUUGCCAUAGCAACACUAGACAUGUAACUAUUGGAUAAUGCCCUUGGAAGAAAUAUAUUGGCAUAAAUAAACUGUCAUAACUUUCAAACUGAUAAAAUGUGACAUUAUAUAUUGAAAGUAAAUAUAUAUGAAAUCCCGGUGAAAACAAUGGAAAUGUACUUAUAGGUGAAUCAGAUAAGAAGGCUUCAACAAAAGUGAACAAGACUAUUGUCAUCACAUAAUGUGCAUCCAUUUAUCAAUAUUUCAAUACGUUUUAGUGUAUAUAUUUAUGAAUGUCGAUUUGCAGUGAUGUCUCUACUUGUAUAUAACACUUGCAAAGUUUUUCUCAGUUAGGAAGGAGUGAUGGGACAAAGUUGUUGAAAGAUUAAAUCCUCAAGAGAUUUCGGAAAAAAUCGAGGACAGGUUGACACAUGGAAUUUAUUGAUGAAUGGAAAAAUGUUAAAUAUGAAUCCUGGAAAAGUGUUACAUAGCUGUGCAGGAAAUGUGAUAGUGAAGUUGUGAAUAUUAUUUCAUACAUACUUUAACGUUUAAGCGGGCUACGAGAUCGUCUGAUGAUUCAGGAGCGUCAGAUAUAGAUCUAACCAGUUCAUGUUUAAUAUAGUGACAAACAUCUUUACAAAAUGUUUGCUAUUUCAUUUCCAUCGGACCACUCCGGUGGAGUUUGUUUAUCUUCCUAAAAAGUGCUCUGAUUUUUUUCUUUAUUGUUUAUGAUAUUGUUCAACUAUAUAUAUUGUGAGUACCAUUCUUCGAAAUAGUGAAAAAAAGAUAAGUAUCUUGCUUCUUGUUAAAGGUACAAUAUUGAAAGGAAUAUACAAUGUUGAGAGGAACAUACAAUGUUGAAAGGAUUAUACUAUUGAAGAAUGGUCUUGCUACUUGCGGUAUUUACAAUUUUUGCCAGUCCUUGGUUUCACAUGUCAGAAGGACGUAGUAUUAUAAUAAGUGAAACCAAUGGAAAUAGAGAAAGUGUUGGAAAAUAUAUAUAUAUAUACAAGGAGACGACUCCUUGUUAUUGAGAUUGUUGGUAGAAACAAUUGAAAAAUGAUGGAGGGUGCAGAGGUUUUGCCAAACCUGUUAGCAUAAGAGUUUAAAAUGUGAAGAACAUUACACAGUCUAUAAAAUAGGGGCUCGUCAUGUAGCAUUGGACAAAGUAUUAAAAGGUUUAUGUAUAGAAUUUAAAUGAUAUGUCAAAAUUUAUUGUGUGUUAUGUUAAGAAUUGAAUUGACAAUACAGGAUAAAUACUGGUCUAGGAUUAGUGCGUGGAGUCCUUAUUUUGUUGACUGGCUAUUUUUAAAGUGUCUGAAUAGACAGUAUCCUCAGGUUAUACGGGUCAUCCUGUUGUCUGAUUUACAUCAUUUAUGACGGGUGUUUUUUUUUUUUAUAUAUAUUUGUUUUGUAAUUCAUUAUUGUUUGAGAAGACAAAACCUAUAAAAGAUUUAUUAUAUAAGAUAAUUUGAGGAAAUGUUUUAUGAAAGUAAAUGUUUCAAAGUUAAUUCCCCAAAAUAUGGUGUAUUUCACCAAAAUAGAUGAUGAUUUGUCUUUACUUGUAUGAAUCUUAAGUGUUAAAUUGUCACUCUGACUUCCAAAAAAUUGUUUUCCUUUUCAGGUGUUCUGUAAAACAAAUGUCUCUUUUCAUUCGGUAUAUUUAUAUAUAGUUAUUCUCACAUAGAUCACUAUUCUAAAGUGUAAUAAGCUAAUAGAAAGUAUGAAAUACAGUGAAAUCACUUAAUUUUGACUGUGGUUUUGUCCAACGGCUAUUUAGCCAGGAUAUGUAUUUGUGGAUUUCCACUUUCCAGUAUAAAAGAAUGGGAACUUUCUUGUUUAUGGGAAUUAUAUUUCUAUGAUAGAAGCAACCUUGAAACAAAUGAACAAAAUUUAGUCCCUCACAAAUAUUUAAGAUUUCACAGUAGAUUUUUGAUCUGUGUUUAAAAUGGAAAAUGAGCGAAAAUAUGAAAAUAAGCAAAUAUUUGGUGGAUGUUGUCAAAGGAUGUACACAAAAAUCUCUGAUAUGGUGUUAUAGUUGAAAUAACAUAUCUCAAAUAGUGAUUUUUAUGCCCCCAGCAUCUACUGAUGUGGGAGACAUAUAGUGAUUGUCCUGUCCGUCCGUUCGUUCGUCCGUCCAUCAGUCUGUAUGAGGUUAACCAAAUGGGACCGUUUUGUCUAGCAUCAAUACCCCUUACUAGAAUGACUUGAUACUAAUGCAGAUGUAACCUGUGACCAUUCCUCAUCUUCAGACAUCACCUGACCUCAGUUUGACCUUGUCCUCAUUUUGGACUUAGGUUGCUUUAUAUGGGCCAUCUCUUGGCUAACCAAAUGGGACCGUUUCGUCUAGCAUCAAUACCCCUUUUAAGAAUGAAUCGAUACUAAUACAGAUGUAAACUGUGACCAUUCCUCAUCUUCAAACAUCACCUGACCUCAGUUUGAGCUUGACCUUGGCCUCGUUUUGGACUUGGGUGGAAAAUCUAUCAACAAAGGUGCAAAAUCUAUCAACAAGGAUGCCACUGGGGGCAUCAAGUGUUUAUUGAACGCAGCUCCUUGUUUCUUGAAUAAAGUCAUUGUCAUUCAAAUGCAUACUAUUAGAUCAUUUGGACUGUGCCACAGUGAUAUAAUUUCUUUGCAUCUGAACUCCAAACAGUGAUUAUAUUCAACAAUAAAUCACUGUUUGGGAUAAAUUAUUUAUUAAGUACAUCCGAUGUUUUGGAAAAAACGCUGUCAUGAAAGAUAUAUGUCAGACAAUUAUUCAGAUGUUAAUUUAUAUCUCAUUCUACCAUUGAUCAUGUUGUUUUAAUGUAAUGUAUAAAAAAAAACAUUUAAAUGCGUAAUAUGAGUGCUCUUUGUUGAAAGCUGCCACUGUUUUUUUGUUUUUUGUUUUUUUUAAUUUUGUGAAGCUAAGGUAGAAAAAAUGCUGAAGAGUUAUUUUUUAUCAGUUCAAGUGCUAUAUUGGCAAGUUUUGUCAUAAUUUAAUGUGCUAUAUUUGAUAGUUUUUCUAGAUAUUUUAGCCAUAUCACAGCAAAAAGAACCUUGUGGUAUUUUAGAUUUUUUAGUCAAGGAAACUUUUAAUUGUCUUUUGCAUUAAGUUAACAUUCAGAUAUUUUAAUUAUCAAGAAAAUCUAGUAACAUUUUAAAAAAAACGGAAAUUUGUGAAUAGUAUAUUUUACAAGAUGUAUAAUAUGUCUGUGUGUUAAAGUGAUAUUAAUGUAACAGUAUCUCCUGCACAAGAAACUUACUUUUAUCGCCACUUUAUAGGUUUAAUAUGUUGGAAGUUAAGUGAUUUCCAAAGUAAUUAAAGUCAUUUUUACCACAAUUAGCAAAGAUAAAAUGAACAUCUAAGGAAUUUUACAAAUUAUUUUAUAAGAAAAACAUUGUUGUAAUUUAUUGCAGUUAUUAUGUAUCCUUUGAUGGUACAUAAGCAGAAUAGACUGGGUUUAAGAAUAUUUGGGAAAAAAAAUGAUAAAGUUUUUGUUAUUUUCUCACUGUUUCAGUUUUUACUGGAGUACAGUGAAAGCUCCUUGAGUCAGGCCCUCUAUAAACAGGGACCCUCAACAAACUGAUCUGAAUUGCAGCUUAAGGAGAUGGCUGAAAGUCUCUUUAUUAAAUGCCAUAAUGACAGAUAUCUGAAGAUUAAUUAUUGAUUUUAUAUGAAAAAUUCAGCAUGAAGAAUUUUCAUAAUUUUUGUGCAUAAAAAAUGCUACAAAAUCAACUGUUUGUGUUGUUAAGAAUAUAAAUUGUCAUAAUAUUUAUGAAAGAUUUCUCAAUUUCUAUAUCACGUUUGUUAGAACCUCUUCAAAUGUUUUCAAUUUAGUUUUUUUGUUUUAUUUUGUUUACUAAAAAUACCGGUACAAAGAUCUUGAUCUGAAAAGAAUUCAGUGUUAGUGAAUUAUUUGUUUUAUUUACACAUAAUUUUUCUGUUAACAUUAUCAUAAUUUUAUGAAGAAUUUUGUUUUAAGCUAGAUAAUGUUAUAGGGCUUGUGUUAUUGACGUAUUGUUUUUAUGUUUCUACCUCAACACUUUAUUUAUUUGUUGUGUAACCUGUUCAGUAGCUUGUGACAAUGUACGUCCAUAUUUUGAGUGUGUUAGAUUAAACGUUGUGCUCCAGUCAGGUCAAUAUGUUAGGGUUCAAGCAGUUGUUAGUGCCAGCCAGGGCUUCAUGCACUGUGAAAUCAUGUAAUUUUGUGGGAAUGAAGUUUUUGUGAUUUUGGCCAAAAAUAGCUAUAUCAUGGGGAUGUAAAUUUGUGGAUUAAAACGUUUGAAGAUAAGAUGUUUGGGACUUCUAUAUGUUUGUUGGAACAAAUUUUAUGGAUUUAUGCCACCAAGAAAUUCGCAAAAUGUAGUCCCCCCAUGAGACUUAAAUGACUUUGCGAUAUGUCAGCAGGUCUAUUUUUCAGUGAUGUGUAGAUUUAUCUAAAGAAAGAAGUUUUUUAUUCGUCGAUGCCAUUUGUAAUUUUCAAAAUAUAACAUAUUUGGCUGUUCAUAUUAGAUAAUGAUUAAGGAAAAAUUCAAAAGAUUCACAUAGAAUAAAUCUAUAGAAUAUGUCUAAAUUUUAAGACUUACAGUUAUUGUCGAUUUCAGAUUUCUUUCAAAUUUUAAAAGGUUUUCAUGCAGAGUUUCCUACUCCUAGAUUUACUAGAUACAGGAUUAAAACUACUUGAAUGAUGAGACAAGCAUUGGCAUUACCAUGCUUGCACCAUGACAUUUUGAAGUCCUGACUGGAGUACUAAGGUUGUGUAACUGAAUCAAAGUGUUCCAAAUCAUUUUCUGACUUCUUCAUUAAAUUUGAUUCUAAUAAUCAUUGCCAUUUGUAAAUACCAGUUAGAUCAUCCAUUGAAGAUAUGUGAAAUGUGCAGCACUCUUUUUGUUCUUUAGAAAACAUUUUAUAUAGUAUAAGCUCAUUUAUAAAUAUCAUGAUGUUACAAUUAAAGGUACUGGCAUAGUCUCUGACAUUUACAACUUUCCUAGAAUAAAUUUAAAAAGUAACAAACAAAUGAAAUCGCUCUUUUGUAAAACAAUUGUUCUUUUCAGCUAAAAUUUUCAAAAUGAGGUGAUACUUGGAUAGUUUUCAAAUAUUACCUACUAUACCUAGUUGUAGCAGAAAUGUUCAAAUAUAUAUCAUGUUCAAUUACAGCUCUGAAAUGAGAUACUUGAAUUUCGGAAAUUCUGUACUUGUAACCAUAUAGACAGGCCCAGGCAUUAUUCUUUAACUUGAAUUGUGAAAAAAAAUCAGAUUCAUUUUACAAACUUAACACCAACUGUUAUUUGCAUUCAAACAUAAUACUAAUUUGGUAUGUUUGCCCAGAGAUAUGCAAAGUUGCUAAGGCCUUGACAGAGACUAGAAUUAUUACCAGUUUGCUAUAAUUUUAGAUACAGAAAAUAAACGUAACACAGCAUUAAUUUGAUUAGCAAUUCUAAAAAUGUAAAAAAAAAUCUAUUCAAACAUUUUAAACGAUUCAAGAGGUUCUAAUUAAACUUAACACUAAUGUUAAUUUAGCAUGCAAUGCAAGAGUCUGUUAAAAUCUCAAAAAUGAAGGUCAAAGGCAUGAGCACUGUGGUUAGGGUUAGUUGGUCUGAGUAACUUUUAACUGAUUGAAAAGAUUCCAAUUAAACUUAGCACAGAUGUUAAGCAUGAUAAAAAAAGGUGUGUUGCCAGCAAGAGGCAGGAUUUUUAAGGUCAAGGUCAUAGGCAAUGGCACUGGUAUUAAUGUUAGGUUUAUUUCAAUACUAAAGAUAAUUUAAAUGUACAAAAAUGAUUAUUAAAAUGUGACAGUCAAUGCAGUUACUUUAUGAAAAAUAGGCAAUAACUUACACAUACAUGUAUAUGUAAUUUUAAUUAUGAAAAGAAUUAGUUGACUUGCAGUCUUAACAAUUAGAAGAGCAAUCAAUUUAGAUUGAUUAGACCACCACUAAUGGCUUAUAUGAAAUGAGCAUAAUAUUCCCUGUUUCUCAUUGUGUGCUUUUGGGGUUCUGUACAAAGAAUGAUUAGAGGUUUUAAAAUUAGUUUUUCCUGUACAAACAGAUUUGGUCAAAUAAUUUUGAAGAUACAAAACAACUUUAAGUUGGUGAAAUUAUGAAGAAGAAAAUGUUCAAAAUAGUUAUACCAAAACUAUUGUAAUCAGAAUUUAGUUUACAUAACUUAUCCCCCACCCCCACCCCCACAACACACACCCUUCCUCUUUUACUCAGAGAGAAUAAGUGACAUUGUUUACCUACCAGUGUUCUCUGGGUCUCAAACUGAUGCUGAAGACCAUUCUUACAAUGCAGCCUUACCAUUGGUCGAUUUAAAACUUAAAAACUUAAAUUCAGAAAAUACCAAUCAGAUGCUGGAGUUUUGUGACUGAUACUCAAAUUCUGUUUUAAAACCUGGUACCUAGAUCGUAUUGAGUGUGAUAUUUGAGUCUGACUGCAUGAAAAGCUCUUUUCUGGCAGCUAUUUUUAGAAUUAUCCUCGUUUGCAUUGUUAGCUGUAGUAUAGUAUUUAAAACAGUUUGAAACCCUCUAAACUUGCAUCUCCAUAAAAAGGGAUUUGCUGAGGGUCUGUUUCCUCAAACACAAGCAUUUCCUCAAGGGUCCAGUUUAGUUGAGGAUGUCCACUAUAAAUAUUUUUUUUCUUUUGCUUGCCAUGUUAGGCUUUAGAUGUGGUUUUAUCCCAGUUAAUUUGAAUGUAACAAAUGUAUAAGAAUGGAGUGCAAGUAAAACUUUGGAACUAUUGUACCAGUAAAUCAAGAUGUAUUCUAGAACCAAGCUUGGUUUUCAUAACAUUAAAUAGACUAUUAAAUAAGGUAAUAAAUAGUGGUGCAAGUACUGAAAAUUUUUGAUAGUUUCUGUAAAACAGGGUACUCCAACAUUUCUCAGGUGGAAUGCCCUAUUAAAUUAACAGUGAAUAACUUUCUAAAAAGUUAAGUUUCUAAUAUUCCUCAAGAUAUUUAUUUCAUUACUAAUCUUUUAUUUCUGUUUACAAUUUAAACAUUACAGAACAGUGAUAUAAAUAUUAUAAAUGUAAAAUUGUUACGUACUGGAGAUCAGGUAAUUUUGGCAUAGGCUUUACCUAUUACUAGCUAUUUCAUGUUUAGUAUCUUUGAUCAAAUGAUCCCGUUUCUUACCUUUAUUAUUAAUACUGAAUUUAGUGUCCUUGUUGUCAAGUGUUGUUUUCAACCAUAAAUAGUUACCUUUGUACCAAACAAUUGUAUUUUCUUCUUUCUUUGUACUAGAGUAUGAAUCUUGAAAAAGGACCAUCUUUCUUAAAGAUGGCUUUGAAGAAACAACAUCUUAAGUAGAGUUGCAUUGUCAAGAUUUUAUAAUUUUCUGGGGAAUUUAAAACAACAUGUUUCUUGAAUCAGAUGGCCUUGUGUAGCCUAAAAUUACUUACAACCUUCAUAGGAGUUGCUAUAUAAAAUUUCUUUGUAGGCCUUAUCUCCGCAAUAAUAUAAAUUGCAUUUCUGUGAUAAUAUUUGAUGGCAUUUUAUGAGCUAGAUUUUCAUACUGUACAUUAGAAUAAAAGUUUAUGACAGCUGUAACCACCAGUUUUUAUCCAGUUUAGAUCCUAUAAAUAACUUUUAAUGUAUUAGCACUAGUUUCGUUAUCAUGAUUUGUCCUUAUUUUCCCUCCAUUAAAAAAAAUUGACACAUCUGUAUACUGUUAGGAUUUGUAUAGUAAAAAUUUGAUAUAAAUUUGGUUUUAUUGACAAAAAUUAUCUGUCAAUUUAUUAAUGAUGGAAAAAGUCAUACCAGUGAAAGUGAUCUAUAACUCAAGAAAAUGUUUUACAUAAUAGUCCAUAUUGAAAGCAUUAAUAUCACAUUUAUAGACAUCAGCAUGUAAAACACACACAAGUCACAUGUGCUUCAAAAUAUUAUUGGAUAAUAAAAGCAUUGCUCUUUCUAUGCUUGUAGAAUAACAUCUGCAAUUUAUAGGAAAAUAUGUCAUUAAUUUUCUCUCUUGCAUGCAUAUGAAUGAACAAUCCAAGCAUUAUGCACUUCUCACAGAAACUCCUGUAAUAGAAAGUUUUUGUUUGAGCACGUAAAAACAAACUGUUGAUUUAGUAGUCAGAACAGAAGUAAAAUAUUUUCUGUGGUACAAAUACAUAAUUUAGGAAUAUACACAAAAAGUAAACUCUCAUAUAGUGGAACAUCUGUAAUGCUUAUGUUGUCAUUGUAUAUCAGUAUAGCAUACAGUGGUGCCUUGUCAUUUUCACGUUUUAGUUUUUAUAUUUCUUUCUUUUUUGUCAUUGCAAAUGUAAUAUUUCCACAUCUUGAUUAAAUUUGCUGGCCACUGUCUGAGUAGACUACAUAUUUCCUAAUUUGGAAAUACUUCAUUUCUUUAAUAACUAAACAUUUUGUGAAAACUUUGAAAUUAAUAUUUUCUACCAGAAAUGGAAAGGCUCAGGUCAUAUCACUUAAAAAUGUACAAUAUUUUCAAUGUGUUAGUGGGUCCUGUCAGUAUUUGAUUUAGGCAUGGUUGUAAUGAAGAAAAAAGCCUACUAAUAAAGUCUGUGUGCUUGAUUACUUUUUGUGUUGAGUUCUUCAGAAGACUAAGGUAGACAAAAAUAUUUGAAAUUCUGGCAUUUUUGUAACUAUAGGUAAGUACUGACAAUCAUAGGCUUCCAUAAUGUAUAAAUGCAUGUACUUUUAGCACCUAAAAUGUUAUAAGCAUUAGAUAUAGUACAUUUACAUUUUCAGACUUCAUGAAACUUUCUUUGUUUAUCCAUUACUGUUAUCUAUAGACUUGAUUUGACAUAUAAGGUACAGUGAAUUUUAAAUGCAUAAGGUGUUCCUUCUAUGAUGCUGUAUUUCCCAGAAACAAAUUAUUCUAGAGAGUUGAAAGAUGUCUGAUUGCUUGGCAUGUAUAGUAACAUUUCAUUUGGUAUAGUAAAAAAUGUGUCUUCUUUAAAAUCAGAAAGUACUUUUAAUGUAAUAUAUAUUCAUAAAGCACUCAAGCAGGUGUUUAACCUUGUCAUUUCUAAAAUGGACUGGUCUUUCAUCCAGUUUGGGCAGUACCAUUUAUUAUUCAAAGGGGCAUUCACUGAAUAUUUAUUGGUUGAAUUUCAAACAGCGUAGGCACUGCUCGCAAAGGCAGAACCACUUGCAGGCAGCAGA